ensembl:miRNA Gm25071 predicted gene, 25071
AUAUAUAUAUAUAUGUGUAUGUGUAUGUGUAUGUGUAUAUGUAUAUGUAUAUAUACAUACACACACACACACACACACACACACAC